AACCCCCCGCGCGGCGGCAUCUUGCCCAACUCCCCCAGGGUCGAGAGACAGCAAGGGUAAGCGAGCUCUGACGGGUGCGCGGGGGGCCUCU
rnacentral:SRP_RNA from 1 species